rnacentral:rRNA from 1 species
CAGCCGCCACGGUAAUACGGAGGGGGCUAGCGUUGUUCGGAAUUACUGGGCGUAAAGCGCACGUAGGCGGCUUUGUAAGUUAGAGGUGAAAGCCCGGAGCUCAACUCCGGAAUUGCCUUUAAGACUGCAGAGCUAGCAGGUGAGAGAGGUGAGUGGAAUUCCGAGUGUAGAGGUGAAAUUCGUAGAUAUUCGGAAGAACACCAGUGGCGAAGGCGGCUCACUGGCCCAUACUGGACGCUGAGGUGCGAAAGCGUGGGGAGCAAACAGGAUUAGAUACCCCAGUAGUCCUGUCUCUUAUACA